rnacentral:rRNA from 1 species
UCGUUAAGUCCGCUAACGAGCGCAACCUCGCUGUGUGUUAUAUGUGUCACACGGGACUGCCGGUCUUAAGCCGGAGGAAGUGGGGAUGAUGUCAAGUCAGCAUGGCCUUUAUAUCCUGGGCUACACACACGCUACAAUGGCCAACACAAUAGGUUGCUAAGCCGCGAGGUGGCGCCAAUCCAUAAAGUUGGUCUCAGUUCAGAUUGUAGGCUGCAACCCGCCUGCAUGAAGAUGGAGUUGCUAGUAACCGCAGGUCAGCUAUACUGCGGUGAAUACGUUCCCGGGGCUU